UGUGAGGGGAGGGGGGGCCUUCAGCCUGGAUUGUGAGAGAGCACAGGCCAAGCUGAAGGACUCCACUGGUGCAUG
rfam:Myotis davidii contig12182, whole genome shotgun sequence.